CCUACGGGAGACAGCAGUGGGGAAUAUUGCACAAUGGGGGAAACCCUGAUGCAGCGACGCCGCGUGAGUGAAGAAGUACUUCGGUAUGUAAAGCUCUAUCAGCAGGGAAGAAAAUGACGGUACCUGACCAAGAAGCCCCGGCUAACUACGUGCCAGCAGCCGCGGUAAUACGUAGGGGGCAAGCGUUAUCCGGAUUUACUGGGUGUAAAGGGAGCGUAGACGGCAAGGCAAGUCUGGAGUGAAAGGCCGUGGCUCAACCACGGGACUGCUUUGGAAACUGUGUGGCUGGAGUGCAGGAGAGGUAAGCGGAAUUCCUAGUGUAGCGGUGAAAUGCGUAGAUAUUAGGAGGAACACCGGUGGCGAAGGCGGCUUACUGGACUGUAACUGACGUUGAGGCUCGAAGGCGUGGGGAGCAAACAGGAUUAGAUACCCCAGUAGUC
rnacentral:rRNA from 1 species